rnacentral:ncRNA from 1 species
AUAAAAUUAUUAUUUUAUUUUAGUUAAUAUUUUUGUUAUUAUUUUAUUUUACAUGUAAAUUUUUGUAUGAAUUAAAUUAAUUUUUAAAAAAUUAAAUUUAUAAAUAUUUAUUCGCAGUAAUUAAUAUUAAUUAAAAAAGAAAUUUUGUAUUAGUAAUAAUAUAUAGUAUUGGUAAAAUUUGUGCCAGCUACCGCGGUUAUACAAAUAAUACAAAUAAAAAUUUUUAGUAUUAGUUAAAUGAUUAAAUUUAUAAUAUAAAUUUAAAUUUAUUAGGUGAAAUUUUUAAAUUUAUUUAUUUAUUAUUAUUAAAAAUAAUUUAAGCUAUAAACUUUUUAUAAUAAACUAGGAUUAGAUACCCUAUUAUUAAAAAUAAAUAUUUAAAUGCUAAAGUAGUAUUAGUUAUAUUCUUAAAAUUUAAAAAAUUUGGCGGUGUUUUAGUCUAUUUAGAGGAAUCUGUUCUGUAAUUGAUAAUUCACAUUGAACCUUACUUAAAUUUGUUUAAUUUGUAUAUCGCCGUCAUCAGAAUAUGUUAUAAGAUAAAAAUUUUCUAAAAAUUUAAUUUAAUAAAAUGUCAGGUCAAGGUGCAGUUUAUAUUUAAGUAGAAAUGGAUUACAAUAAUUUUAUUUAAAUGGAUAAUUUUUUGAAAUAAAGAUUUGAAGGUGGAUUUAAUAGUAAUAUAAAAGAGAUUAUUUAUAUGAUUUUAGCUCUAAAACAUGCACAUAUCGCCCAUCGUUCUUAUUUUUAAAAUAAGAUAAGUUGUAACAUAGUAGAUGUACUGGAAAGUGUAUCUAGAAAGA